rnacentral:lncRNA from 1 species
GCGGACACCACCUGGAGAAGGGGUGCCCGGGGACAUCCCCGGGAGCCCAAACGCCACACACCCCAGGACAGGCAGUCCUGCGUAGUGCCCAGACAGACGGGCAAAGAGGCACCCUGCCUAGGUCAUCAGAACACACAUAUCGGUGACCCAGCUAAGCCUCGUUCUGCAGGUCCAACGCACCAAGAAGCGGGAAAGACGGAUGAGGAGAAGCUGGAGAGACGGAAGCUGAGUCAGGCAGCAGCUGGGAGGAACUCUGAUCUCACUAGAAAGGCAAUUCUUCGAAUCACUGCUCAGAUGAUAAAGGCGAACAGCAAGCAAGAUAACAUUUGACUUUUUUCCAUUAAAACCAGUUUCAUAUAACACAGAAGUCAAGCAAAGAACUGGAUGUGAGGGGUAUUAAAAUAUGAGAAGAGCUUAUAAAGCCCACAGUAAAUAUCAAGUUACUCAAAUUUAGUUAUUCUAUUUUGCUUAAACUCUUUGUAGCCCCACAGAGAAGUUGGGCUAUCAGCUUCAGAUUGGUGCAUCAGUCUACAUCAGGGUGUUCAGGGAAGUGUGUCCACUCCUCUGGGCCAGGCCUUUCUUCAAAAGUGGGACUCACCAGACUUUGUCAAGACAAGCUCCCGGUGGUAAAGCCUGUCUCCCCCUGAGAAGGCAGAGGCGGGCAGCCCUGGAUGGACACGCUGCCCACGCACACCACCAAGCCUAGCCCUUGCACUGUGGACAGCUUGGCGGUUACUAGACCAAGUGCCUCUGCUUGCUCCUUCUCUUUCCUGAAAGGAAAGCAGGGCUAUGGGCAG